ensembl:lncRNA
UUUUGUUGGAGAUCCCUGCAUCCCUGAGGUCUUCCAAAGCGGAGCAGGCACCUGAGGUUCUGUGUUCCAUAUCCUGAGGGCUCUAAAGCUUUCUCAGAAGUAUUGCAAGACUGCAGGAAGCCAAGCCUGGAGUUCAACCUUGGAAAUGAUGUCUUUUGGGAUCCAUCCUUGAGGUGAAUUACCUUUAGACUUUCCUUAGAGACUGAAUUAAUGUGACAGCACAGUAGAUUUAGAAAAUAAGUGAACAGGGAGUUUAGACCAACAGUGAUCCAGUGCGAAAGUGCUAUCUGACCUUCUUUUGCUUUGCAGCGCAAAUAUUCUGUAGUCAUAUGAAAGUAUAGUUCCAUCCUAAUUAAUCCUUCACAACCAUGAAGUAGACAGCCAUGGCUGCAUUAAGGGGUUCACUGGCAUUGAGUAUUAUACACAGGUCAAAAUAGACUCCACUUUCAAAAACGAAGUACAGCACCUACAUACAGUUUACAACUGAGUCACAUUUCAUUCUGUUCAUAAUGCAAGUAAGGUACAGACCUUGUGUUACAAAGACAAGUGUUCAGCUCAGUGAUCGAAAUAAAUUUUAGGAGGAGUCAGUCUGUAUUAUGUGGUGGAGAAAUUCUGAGACCUUAUGGUAAGGGUCUGUCCUACACUUGGGAGGUGUAGCAUGAGCUUCUCAUCUGACCCUCUUCUCUACUCAUCAGUGCUAUUGAAGUUGUUCUGACUUUUGUGCUUCUUACUGUUGAAGUCAGAGAUAUGACUCCUCAGCAAGAAUACAACCCUGCUCAAGGAAUACCUCUCUAGAAUGUUGCAUGUCACAGUGUUAACAGUGGCUAAUGGUUUUGCUAUUACUUAUUUUAUUUUGGGAUGACAGUGAUAGAUCUUUGUUUUAAAUAUAGAUGUAUUAAUUUCAGUUAGCUUGAAUGUAAUGUCUAAAAUACUUGUAAGUACCGCUUUCAACACAUGUAAAGACAAAAGACUUCUGUACAGUAAAGCAGGAAAACUUAAUAAUUGAGGGAAAACACAGGUCAAAGAAAACAUAUUUAAUCAGUUGCAGGAAUGUAGUGGAGUUCUAGUACUGCGGAAGACCAAUAUUUUUCACUACUGCUCUAUAAAUCUGUUAACUAUCUCAUAAGAGAGGAAUGUGAUUCUGGAUUUUAGAUGAUGGUACAUCUAUUUGCACACUCACUUAUGAUAUUUGAAGCUUAGUCAAAUUCCAUCCCAUACUGUCAUACCAGAGUUUUUCCAAUUAUUGUUCUGUCCCUGGGGCUUGAGAGUAACGUUUGUCAGGAAAGUGGGUGGGGGCUGUCUGGUGUUAAGUGGACCUUACCCUCACCAUCCUUCCUGUGCACCUUCCUCUCUGACUUAAGUCACCUCACACAUGGCUCUGUAGUUUCUAAGUCUUAUUUCAUAGAAAACUUUUGUGACAUCAUUUAGCCUUGAGGAAAACAUUGAAGGCUAAGUACAGUGCAUAUCUUCUCAAUAGGGCAUGUAAGGCCCAAGACAGCUUUCUGUUGUUGUACUGUUAACUUGUAUAGGAUAUGGGUUAAGAAAAUACUUUACAACAUGCAAUUUUAUUAAAAUCUCAGAUGAAGAGUUGUUAUCAAGAUGAACAGACGCAGAAUAAUUGGGUACUAAAUGUAUGAUAUAAUUGACUUCUGCUAAAAAUGUGGCUUGGAAUGAUAAUUGCUAAUAUCUUUUUCUUAUAUAGAAAAAGAUAUUGUGGGUUAUGAAUAAAUAAAAUGGAAGGAAUUGAACCUUU